rfam:Pelodiscus sinensis unplaced genomic scaffold scaffold2614, whole genome shotgun sequence.
GGCACCAUGGUUUAGCUGGUUAAAACCCUUGCCUUGUAAGCAAGAGAUCCUAGGUUUAAAUCCCUGUGGUGCCU